rnacentral:rRNA from 1 species
UGGGGAAUCUUGCACAAUGGGGGCAACCCUGAUGCAGCGACGCCGCGUGAGCGAUGAAGCCCUUCGGGGCGUAAAGCUCUUUCGACCGGAACGAUAAUGACGGUACCGGGAGAAGAAGCUGCGGCUAACUACGUGCCAGCAGCCGCGGUAAUACGUAGGCAGCAAGCGUUGUUCGGAGUUACUGGGCGUAAAGAGUGCGUAGGCGGUUUUCUAAGUUCGGUGUGAAAUCUCCUGGCUUAACUGGGAGGGUGCGCCGAAGACUGGGAAGCUGGAGUGUGGGAAAGGCAGGCGGAAUUCCUGGUGUAGCGGUGAAAUGCGUAGAUAUCAGGAGGAACACCGGCGGUGUAGACGGCUUGCUAGACCAUAACUGACGCUGAGGCACGAAAGCGUGGGUAGCAAACA